UAUCACUCUUGGGAUGGACCUGCGGUGCAUUAGCUAGUUGGUAGGUAACGGCCGUACCAAGGCGAUGAUGCAUAGCCGAGUUGAGAGACUGAUCGGCCACAUUGGGACUGAGACACGGCCCAAACUCCUACGGGAGGCAGCAGUAGGGAAAUCUUCCACAAUGGACGCAAGUCUGAUGGAGCAACGCCGCGUGAGUGAAGAAGGGUUUCGGCUCGUAAAGCUCUGUUGUUGGUGAAGAAGGACAGGGGUAGUAACUGACCUUUGUUUGACGGUAAUCAAUUAGAAAGUCACGGCUAACUACGUGCCCAGCAGCCGCGGUAAU
rnacentral:rRNA from 1 species